rnacentral:tRNA from 110 species
CGCGGGGUGGAGCAGCCUGGUAGCUCGUCGGGCUCAUAACCCGAAGGUCGUCGGUUCGAAUCCGGCCCCCGCAACCA